AGAGUUUGAUCCUGGCUCAGGACGAACGCUGGCGGCGUGCCUAAUACAUGCAAGUCGCACGGACUCCUUCGGGGGUCAGUGGCGGACGGGUGAGUAACACGUGGGUAACCUGCCUCAUAGUCGGGGAUAACGCCUGGAAACGGGUGCUAAUCCCGGAUGGGUUCCCGGGUCGCAUGGCCUGGGAAGGAAAGCUGCCGCAAUGCAGCGCUAGGAGAGGGGCCCGCGGCGCAUUAGCCAGUUGGUGGGGUAACGGCCUACCAAAGCGACGAUGCGUAGCCGACCUGAGAGGGUGACCGGCCACACUGGGACUGAGACACGGCCCAGACUCCUACGGGAGGCGAC
rnacentral:rRNA from 1 species